AGGUUUUUUCUUCAUAAUACCUAUGUCAUCUAGUAGCAUAAUGUAAGGCAGAAUCCUUCAAAGGUUGACUCCUAGAGAUGGAAGAGCUGUAAGCAGAGACAGAAAAGUAUGAAAUCGGAGACUUGGAGAUGAUAUAUAAAUUUCCAACAUAAAGCAGGAAUUGAGGAUGUUCCAGGUACACUUCAAGUAUGUGUUCAGUUUCAAAACCUGUGGCCUUCAAGGAGGUUCCUUGCUCUUACAGGCCUACCAUCCAU